AUGAGGCUUCCCCUUCUCGCUGUGGCCUGGAUAACAUUCAGUGUAGGCCUGAGCGAUGGAGAUUCUGUUAUUCAGCGGGAAUCUUCGCUGACACAGACAGAGGGAAAAGAUGCCACUUUAAUAUGCACCUAUACCGGCGAUAGCUUUCUCUUAUUCUGGUACCGGCAGUACACAGGCAGACAGCCCGAGUUUGCAGUCCAGAGGUACACUGACGGCGACCUGGAUUAUCAGGCAGAUUUCGCUCGGAACCGGUUUUCUGAUAUAGUCCAUAAAUCAGACAAAUCGUACCGAUUGACCAUCUCGGAGCUGUGGCUGUCUGACACCGCGGUCUAUUACUGUGCACUGAGUCUCACAAUGAUGGAUCCGAGUUGA